rnacentral:lncRNA from 1 species
ACGUCGACCGGGGACGAGCCACGUUGGUGAUCCGCGUGCGCGCGAUCGGACGGCCCAGAUCAAUCGCGCGCACGGGCGGCCCAGAUUUAAUAAAAAACGGACGACCCAGAUUAAAACAAAAUGGACGGCUGAGAUCAAAAGGCAAAAGGGUAUAAAUAAGACCCCCACACCAGACCCCAAACCCUAGCCGUCUGCCCUCGCCGGAGAAGACGAACCAGAAGCCGGCCGCCGCCACCCGCCGCCGCACCGGAGGGAUUUCCGACCGCCGAUCGAGGUAAAUUUCAUACCCCCGACUUGUUUUUCCACGCUGAUUUCCCCAGUGGC